GCUAAGCCCUAAAUAUUGAUUAGGCCAUUACACAUGCCAUCCGCCAGAGAACUACAAGUGAGAAACUUAAAACUCAAAGGACUUGACGGUGUCCCACAUCGACCUAGAGGAGCCUGUCCUAUAAUCGAUACCCCUCGAUCCACCUAACCUUUUCUUGCCAUUUCAGCCUAUAUACCGCCGUCGACAGUCUACCCUAUGAGGGUCUAACAGUAGACACAACAACUAAGCCGCUAACACGUCAGGUCAAGGUGUAGCAAAUGCUAAGGAAGAGAUUGGCUACAUUUUUAACUUUUAAAAAUACGAAAUGCACCAUGAAACCGUGCACGAAGGUGAAUUUAGUAGUAAAAUAAAUAAGAGAGUUUAUUUUAACCUCGCCCUGGGACGCGUACACACCGCCCGUCACCCUCCUCAACAAUAUCCCCCUUUUCAUAAAAAACCAACACUUUUAAGAGGAGGC
rnacentral:rRNA from 1 species